AUUGAACGCUGGCGGCAUGCCUUACACAUGCAAGUCGAACGGCCGCACGGGUGCUUGCACCUGGUGGCGAGUGGCGAACGGGUGAGUAAUACAUCGGAACAUGUCCUGUAGUGGGGGAUAGCCCGGCGAAAGCCGGAUUAAUACCGCAUACGAUCUACGGAUGAAAGCGGGGGACCUUCGGGCCUCGCGCUAUAGGGUUGGCCGAUGGCUGAUUAGCUAGUUGGUGGGGUAAAGGCCUACCAAGGCGACGAUCAGUCGCUGGUCUGAGAGGACGACCAGCCACACUGGGACUGAGACACGGCCCAGACUCCUACGGGAGGCAGCAGUGGGGAAUUUUGGACAAUGGGCGAAAGCCUGAUCCAGCAAUGCCGCGUGUGUGAAGAAGGCCUUCGGGUUGUAAAGCACUUUUGUCCGGAAAGAAAUCCUUGGCCCUAAGACGGUCGGGGGAUGACGGUACCGGAAGAAUAAGCACCGGCUAACUACGU
rnacentral:rRNA from 1 species